CGUCCGCCAAAAAGCCACGGAGAAGACACGAAGAGCUCAAAGCUUUUGGUGGUGGAGUGGGGUGGAGGGUGGCUCCGAUCCAUCGUGCGACCUCGUCAUCGCCCUCGCGGGAGCCGCUUUUUCUCACGCCGUGAUCGGAGAAUCCAAAUCGGGUUCUCUCGCUUGGCUCCCGUCUUCCUGGAAGGGCACGGAAUCGCCAAAAUCGUGCAGCAGGGACACAAUGUUGGACACAAAUGCAGGCCACAUGUUCCUGCAAAGUAUCUAGUCAGGCUGAAAUAUCAAAAUGAUGUACGCAACCAGAGGUAGACUAUUCUUCAUGGAGCCUUUUUAUGAUCACGAGCACUGUUAUGGGCAAUAUGUAAAUUCAUUAAUAUUACUUAUUGUGCACCAUUUUAGUACUCCAGCCUGGUUCUCUAGUAUCUGAAACUUGCCUUGCCAAAUAUGUUACUGAUAUAUCACAAUGGUAGCAUUUUGCACUGAUGGAUUUUUUUUCU